rnacentral:rRNA from 1 species
AAGUUAAACGGCCGCGGUAUUUUGACCGUGCAAAGGUAGCGCAAUCACUUGUCUUUUAAAUGAAGACCCGUAUGAAUGGUGAAACGAGGGCUUAACUGUCUCCCCUCUCAAGUCAAUGAAAUUGAUCUGCCCGUGCAGAAGCGGGCAUGUAAAUACAAGACGAGAAGACCCUUUGGAGCUUAAGAUAUAAGACCAACUAUGUCAAUAAAACCAAAAAUCAAAUUAAACUAAAUAGCACCUGAUCCUUAUCUUCGGUUGGGGCGACCACGGAAGAAAACAAAGCUUCCAUGCGGACUGGGGCUCUAAGCCCUAAAACCAAGAAAGACAUUUCUAAGUAACAGAACAUCUGACCACGAAGAUCCGGCAACCUAAAGCCGAUCAACGGACCAAGUUACCCUAGGGAUAACAGCGCAAUCCCCUUUAAGAGUCCAUAUCGACAAGGGGGUUUACGACCUCGAUGUUGGAUCAGGACAUCCUAAUGGUGCAGCCGCUAUUAAGGGUUCGUUUGUUCAACG